rnacentral:rRNA from 1 species
UUGCACGCUGGCGGCAUGCCUUACACAUGCAAGUCGAACGGCAGCACGGGUGCUUGCACCUGGUGGCGAGUGGCGAACGGGUGAGUAAUACAUCGGAGCAUGUCCUGUAGUGGGGGAUAGCCCGGCGAAAGCCGGAUUAAUACCGCAUACGAUCUACGGAUGAAAGCGGGGGACCUUCGGGCCUCGCGCUAUAGGGUUGGCCGAUGGCUGAUUAGCUAGUUGGUGGGGUAAAGGCCUACCAAGGCGACGAUCAGUAGCUGGUCUGAGAGGACGACCAGCCACACUGGGACUGAGACACGGCCCAGACUCCUACGGGAGGCAGCAGUGGGGAAUUUUGGACAAUGGGCGAAAGCCUGAUCCAGCAAUGCCGCGUGUGUGAAGAAGGCCUUCGGGUUGUAAAGCACUUUUGUCCGGAAAGAAAUCCUUGGCCCUAAUACGGUCGGGGGAUGACGGUACCGGAAGAAUAAGCACCGGCUAACUACGU